AUGAAAGAGAGAGGGUAUGAGCGAACGGUAGAGCAAUGUCAUCUAAAGGUGAAGAAACUACGGCAAGAGUACAUAAAGGUACGCGAUGCCAUCAGAAAGAGCGGUGCUUCAACGAAUGCAAAGGACACCUUUGCUUUCUACGACGAGAUGGAUAGUAUUCUUGGCACUCGUCCAACAAGCUCACCAAGUAAGGUGGUGGAGUCUUCCCCAGCCUCAAAUGAAACUGCGUCCAGUGGGACUGAAAACACUUCGGAAAGUGGAGAAAACCCUGUUAUCGCCAAUAUAGAGGGAAAUGGGCCAGGCAAAACAACUCCUUGCAGUAGGAGAAAGAGGAGGGCCAAAGAUAUUGGAAUGGAGGUGUGCAAGGGGCUUCAAGAAAACUUCAACCAAGCAGAAGACCGUAGGCAGGGAAUUGAGGAUGCCACUCUGGAAAGGUGGAUGCUAAAGAUGCAGGAGACAGAGGAGAGGCGCUUCAGGUUGCUGAUGGAGCAGCAGGCAGCCACAAACACGAUGUUUAUGAAUGUAAUGCAGACAUUCAUGCAAGGAAAUCACCAAAGCCAAGCUCCACACAAUGCAGCAUCCUCGAGUCCCAUGCAUCAACAUCAUCAACCUCAUUCACCUCCUCCAGCUCCCAGUGACUGGGCUGCACAGCGGUCUCCACACCCAGCUACCCAGGCCCAACCUGCAAACCCCUCUGAUCAGGCCCCACACACCCAGUAUCAGAAUGAUAGUGGUGAACCAAGCAACAACAACCAGCGAUUUUUUCAGUUGUAAUUUUUUGUAUUAUUACCGAGCAUUUUAAUUGUUUUAUGUUGUAUUUGAUGUUAAGUUAUAUUUUAAGUCUGUUAGUGAGGUGCUGAAAAUUAAUAACAGUUUAUUAUUUAAAUACAUGUUAUUUUUUUGUUUUAAUACAAAAUGACCAAAUAUUUGACCAGUGUACAUAAAUGUUAUUGUUUUUCUAUAACAAAUGUUUGAACGGUGUGUCAUCUCCUUUUAAUCAACAACAUUAACAUGUAAUUACAAACAACAAGAUCAACAACUACUGAACUUUAACCAUUUACAGUAAUCAAAGCAGUCUCUUUGUUUUACCUACAGAGUUAAAAAAUGAGCACACAAUGCAUCCCUAAUAUUUGCCCCACCACCAAUGACAGGGUCUUCAGGGUCUGGUCUCGGUUUUGCAUCACGAUUGUCUUCAUUGCCAAUGUAUUCUUCAUUGUGGCUUUCACAGAAAUUGUGAAGGAUACAACAGGCAAGGAUAAUGUCACCUCCAUCUUCCUUUCAAGCGUCCAAAAGCUCUCUCCAUGGUCAUUCUGGUUUGACUUAAGCAGUAGUUUAAAGCGCUUUGUUCUGGUGUUACCCCUCUCCCUUCCGCAUAUGCCUUCAUCAGCCAUGGUAGCAAUGGAUACGCGGCAUCUCCUAGUAUCAUAAGGGGUACAUCCACAUCCUGAAUGGUUCCUUGCCACCUUGGCAUGAGUGUUCCAUUCUGCCCUUGUUCGUAAAGGGAGGAGUUUGUGAAUACAUGGGCAUCAUGAACUCUCACAGGCCAGCCAAUGUUGACAUCCCAAAACUUAAUGUUGUUGUCCACAACACCUUGCAGGAGUACAGAGUAGAAACCUUUGCGGUUGUAGUAGUCAGCUGGGUUGUGAGGUGGUGCCAGAAUGCCAAUGUGAGUGCCAUCCACAGCUCCAGCACACUGUGGGAACCCACAUCUGUCGUUGAAUCCUUCGACUAUUUGUUCAAAUUCUGCAGCUGAAGGUGUGUGUAGGUAUUCUGGCUUUAGGGUGUCGUUGAUGGCAGCAACAACUUGUUGGGUGAACACACAAGCACUCGACAAUCCCACACCAAAGAGGUGAGAGAUAGAUCGGAGCUCGAGAUUGGUGGCCAGCCUCCACAAGCACACAGCCACACGAAGCUCCAUAGGCACUGCCUGGCAGUAUGUUGUAUCCUGUCGAGUCAGCCUUGGACGAAGACUGUCACAGAGAAUAUGGAAGGUGGUUCUUCUCAUUUUAAAAUUGAGCAGCCAAUCUCUUUCUGUCCAGUUGUCACAUACAUGCUGCCACCAAGCAUGACAUCGUGGUUGGACCCAGAUAUAGAUAUAUAUCUGUAUAAAGAUAACAAACAGUUAGUUGAUAAUUGUCAUACAAUAAGGGAAAGGGUGGAUAAAAGACAUAGCCUGUCCCUAUGACUUUCCAUUGCUUUAAGGCCUAAACUCAACAAUAGGCCUAUAUUUAUUAUAUUAUUAUUAUUUGUUAUUUUUCAACUCUUUACUGUUUUGGAUUACCCAUGUAAAGUCAUUGACUGUUAGAUUAGAUUAGAUUAGAUUAGAUUAGAUAGAUACUUUAUUCAUCCCCAAGGGGAAAUUCACAGUUUCCAGCAGUAUCCACAAACUGAUAAUAAUAAUAAUAAUAAUAAUAAUAAUAAUAAUAAUAAUAAAUAAUAACAAUAACAAUAACAACAACAAUAAUAACAAGAGGAGGUCAAAUUUAGAAGAACUAAUAGAAUAAAGUAGAAUAAAUAGCUAAAUAACGAGCAUUGGGUAAGUGUCCUAAGGUGCAUGGUCAAAUCCAGUGCUUGAAAGGCCUAAGGUGCAUAAGUAGUGUCAGUCAGUCAGUGGUCACAUAAUGCAGGGAGCACUGCGUCAGGUGGUAUAGUUAACUAAAGAGCAGACAUAUUGGAGUUUAGAGUUUUCCUCCCCUGGGUGGAGUUGAAGAGCCUGAUAAGUAUUGUGCUUGCAGUUGGUGCUGACGUUGUUGCUGCUGGUAGUAAUACCAUAAUAACGCAAUCGGGAUUUGCUCAUUCAUUUGUUCAUUCAUUUUCAUUCAUACAGAAAAGACUACCCGCCAAAAUGACAACACACGCCAAUGUCAGACGCACGCCCGUCUAAUCAAACCAAUCAAAGGGAGACGCAACACACGUACGUGGUGACGACACGCCGUAGGUAUGUCAUGGAAAGGUCUUUAGUGCGCUAGCAAAAUUACUGUGAAACCAAAAAUAACGGGAUCAAAUGUAUACAAUGUAACUCAACAUGAACCUUGGUCCGGACCUUGGUCCAGACUUUUAGGUGUGAAAACACCCUAAGCUAAAAUCUUCACACGUCAGUAAUUAGCACUGAG
rnacentral:lncRNA from 1 species